rnacentral:lncRNA from 1 species
CUUCAUUAAAGAUUAUAAAAUGUAUAUCAAGGUUCUAGGAGUGUGGAAGAUUACCAUAAAAAGAUGGAGACACUAAUGAUUAGGGCAAAUGUGGAAGAGGAUAGUGAAGCUACCGUGGCUCGACUUCUGCGUGAAUUGAAUAGGGACAUUGCAAACACAGUGGAACUGCAGUACUAUGUGGAAAUUGAAGACAUGUUACAUGUAGCAAUGAAGGUCGAGAGGCAGUUGAAGCGAAAGGGGACAGUAAGGUACCAAUCGGGAUCUUCGGGUUCUAAUUUUUCUCGAAAACCGAAGUGGGGAAAUAACAAAGGAGAAGGAAUUGUUGCAAGAGGAAGAACUGAGGUACCAAGGGGCAAGGAGGAGAGUGCUAGCAAAGCCGUGCCAAAUGGGGAGUCACAGCCAUCAAGAAACAGAGACAUCAAAUGUUUUUGUUGCUUGGGAGUGGGGCACAUUGCUUCUCAAUGCCCAAAUAAGAGGACCAUGAUUUUGCCGGACAGCGGUGAAGUAGAAACUGAAAGUGAGAGUGAUUAUGUAGACAUGCCAGAAUUGGAGGAUGUUGAUAAAGAAGAUACAAUGGAGUAUGCACUUAACAGUAAGUUGUUGGUCACGAGGCAAGUUCUUAGUGUUCAAAUUAAGGCAGAUGACUUGGAGCAGCAACGAGAAAACAUCUUCCACAUGCGAUGUCACGUCUAUGGCAAGGUAUUUAGUGUGAUAAUAGAUGGCGAUAGUUGAACUAAUGUAGCUAGCACUAACAUGGUG